CUCUGGCCAAACCAUUCAACCUCUCUGGGUGUGACGGGCUCUCUCCUUGUUCUUCAGCUCCUGUGGGAUCCUAGGCAUUGGAGUGUGGCUGGGGAGGGCAUUAAGCUUCCCCAGGACAAGGAAAAGCCAGAGAGAUGAGCCAUUUCACUAUUCCCAUUUCACAGACAAGGAAACCGAGGCUCAGAGGGGCGCACUGCCUUGCUCGAGGUCACACAGCCGGGUACAGCUGGAGUUUGAACCCAGGUCUGCCUGGUUCUUCACUUUAGAACUUCUCUGUGAUCCAAAUGCCGGGCCCCUCUGCUGGUGGCGGGGUGGGGUGGGGGGCGAGGGUUUCGUGUCCACUGCGUUUCAUCGUGGGUCCCAUGGCCUUAUUUCCAUCCCUCCCUGUCUCCCGGGGUGUCGACGGUGACUGCCCAUCGCUGUGGGCCCGGCCUGUCUGGGUCUCACUCUUAGAUGCUUGGAACCAUCGAGUCUGCCCCGGUUGGGGCGAAUGAGGUGGCCCAGGAGUGAGUCCCAGAUCCUUUAUUUUCCAACCACAAUUAUUACUAAGCACCCGUUACGUGCCCGGCACUGGGGCCACGCCACCAGCAGGAUGGCUCUGAGCCCGUGUUCUAGUGGAGGCGACGGAAACACCAAUAACAGGAGGAGCUGCCAUCGGUUAAUGGACUGCUAUGUGUGCGACUGUUACACGUGCAGGCGCUUUAGCAAAACGAGUUUUUACAGCUUUACUGCGGGAUAAUCAACAGCCAAUAAGAUGCACGUAUUUGAGGCGCACAGUGUGAUCGUUUUUUGGACGAGUGUCUGCUUGGAAAGGCACCACCCAGCAAGAUAAUGAACGCGUCUGUCACCUCCAGAAGUUUCCUCAUGCCCCUGUGUCACCCUCCUUACUGCUCCUCUCUCUCCUCUACCCCUGAUCCCCAGGCAACCAUUCGUCUGCCUUCUGUCACUGUGGUUCAUUUUUAUUUUCUGGAAUUUUCUAUCACUGGAACCACACAGUGUGAGUUCUUUUUUGUCUGGCUUCUUCCACUCAGCAUAAAUAUUUUGAGAUUUACUGAUGUUAUUGUAUCACUAUUUCGCUCCUUUUUAUUGUUGAGUAGCAUUCCCUUGUA
rnacentral:lncRNA from 1 species